CAAUAGCGUAUAUUAAAGUUGUUGCAGUUAAAAGCUCGUAGUUGGAUUUCGGAGUGGGCCAGUUGGUCCGCCGCAAGGUGUGUUACUGACUGGUUUGCUCUUCUUCGCAAAGACUGCGUGUGCUCUUGAGUGAGUGUGCGUAGAAUUUACGACGUUUACUUUGAAAAAUUAGAGUGUUCAAAGCAGGCUAUUGCUUGAAUACAUGAGCAUGGAAUAAUGGAAUAGGACUUUGGUCCCAUUUUGUUGGUUUCUAGGGCCGAAGUAAUGAUUAAGAGGGACAAUUGGGGCAUCCGUAUUUCGUUGUCAGAGGUGAAAUUCUUGGAUUUACGAAAGACGAACAUCUGCAGAAGCUACAUUGCAAGGUGUUUUUCAUUAAUCAAGAACGAAAGUUAGAGGAUCGAAGACGAUUAGAU
rnacentral:rRNA from 1 species